ACCGGUUGAGGGUUGUCAGAGUAAAUUGUAACUGGUGCUGGACUUUCAAUGUUCACUGUUGCUGAUACUGUACUUUCUGGGAAAUAUAUUGUUGUCGGAGCGGUCUCUCGGGAACAUAUAUUUCUUCAGGAGUGAAAUAAAACGUCACUGUCGACACAUCAUUCUUCACUGGACGGGUCUGAUCGAACUGAAGACAACCUUCAUCUAUCAGUUGCUGAAUACCCCU
rnacentral:lncRNA from 1 species